rnacentral:lncRNA from 1 species
UGCCGUUUGUGUCCCUCACUGCAUCUUUUUUUCGUGUUACUGUGUGAACUAGACCUGCUCUGUCAGGGGGACAGUUUUGUUGUCGUCUAUUGACAUGAUAUGCUGAUGAUGCCCAAGACGACGCAGGUAACGUCUUUUUUUAUUUGCAUAGCUAUCACUGACCGUGAUAAACAACAGGAUUUACAUCCAUUUAUUCAAAUCCUCAAUGAAAAUAUGGAAAAAUGUCAGAUUAAGAUCUAAUCUGCGUCAUAUGCAAAAAUGAUAGAACCACAUAGACUGCAACCCCUACAGAGCUGCAGUAUUUUUAACGAUGGAAAAACACUAAAAAUAUAAAUCUAUUGUGAGUAUUUUUGGAAACUCGAUGGAAAAGUAAGAAGUAGCCACCUCUGGUCUAGAAAGUACUCCAAGUUUGACCCCAGAGUGAGGUAGGUCAGGAGGGGAGGAGGGAAGGAGAGCUGAGCUUAAAGGCAGAAGAAGGUAGAGAGCGGGUGUCAGGACGGAGCUCGAGGAGCAGUUAGAGAAAAUAAACAGAUGGGAGCUUUGAGGAUAUUCUAUCUGAAGCUUAGUCCUGUUGAGUAUAAAUAUGGUGGCGGCUAAGCCAUCUAAAUAGGCCUGUGUUUACCUGUCUGCACGGCCCAAAUUAAUCACCCAUGCCGCCACGAGCCGCCGAGGGGGGAGGGAGAGGAGGGGGAGAGGAGUAGGGAGGUGGGAGUUAGGAGUGUAAACACAGCUAAAAGCUACUGGUUGGCACCAUUUUGUUUUGGUUAGGAUACAGAGUGAGUGAUUAGGCUGCUUCAGUGUGAUGAAGGGGUGGCAGCAGUGAUGGAGGACCACUCAGUGUGAGUCUGUGGAAGUGGGUAUGUGUGUGUAUAAUCACUAUUUCGGAUUCCUGAAUUUGUUCCAAGAUUAUACUCAUAUCCAUGAGCAUUGGUUUACUGUAAGAACUUCACCAAACUCCAUUCAGUUUUUUCACACUUUUAACCUAAGUAGUUCUCUGCAGCUGUGGACAAAAAUCACACUGUCAUUAGUCGGACACUCGGUAAACUCGUCAACCAGCAGACAAUAGAAAUGUAUGUGCAAACCCCAGACUGUGAGUAUAUGCGUAUUUAUGAAUUAAUCACACAAACAUGGAUAGAAAACAAUGAUAAUUCUUGUUAACCAAACAACCAAAGUCACAAUAAUCUACACGUGUAUCAAUGAUUCUGGAGGUCUUUUUUCUGCAUUAGUAAAAAGUGCUUAAAAGUCACGGUACAUCAGGGGUUCACUUAGUAUCAGAGCAUACUGUAGUCACAGUUUAGAGGCAAUUAAAGGCAUAUUCCGGUGUAAAAUUUAGUUAAGGUCAAACACAAUAACACUGAAUUAGACACCCCGUUGAGAGAUGAUGCUUACUUCUCUAGUUAUACCAACGACUGCAUGAAGCAAUACAGAGAGCCACGCACUCAACCAAAACGCCACUCUAUAGCCACAAAUAAUGCCCAGAACAACACCUAACUUCAUCAACAGUACAUAGAUUCUCAGCCAUAGCACUAGCCACCAAACAUCUUUUUAACUUUUUUGAUUUCUUUAGCAAAGAGACUAAACACAACUCACACACUCUCUUCCAGCAGCUGCUUGUUUGUAGUGAGACCUCUGGCGAGUCCAUCCACUGCAGCGGGGUGACACAGCUCAAGGAAGAACAUUUAUGAUAAUUUCUUCAUGGAAAUGCAAUCAGACUGAGACGCUAAGGCAGAAGAACUACUGCAUCUGCAGUGCAAAAUGAUCAAUAGGUUGAUUAUUGCUUCAAGGAUAUGUUAAAGAACUGAUCAUAAAUGUUCUUCCUUGGCUCUCUGUGUAUUGCUAUUGUGCGGUCAUUACUAAAAUUGGUGUAACUAGAGAAGCAAGCGGUCGGCAACAUUCAUCUCUCUGCGGAGCGUCUAACUCAGUGUUACAGUGUGUUUGACCCUAACUUAAUUUUACGCCGGAAUAUCCCUUUAAGUAAAGACAACUUCGUAAAUCAUCUCUGUUGAGGAAUUAUGACUAAGGACCCUUUUUGAUAUGACCAAAGGCUUAUCCGUGGUAGCAUUAGCUUGUUGUUCCAAUAACAACUAUUAUACAUAACUUUUAAAUGAGUUGAUGAUCGUGGUUGGAGAUGACGCUCAACGCCUGAUUUUACAACGACAAUAAAAAUAUCUGUAAACUGAUCUAUGGGUCUAAAGUCUCGUUCUGGUAUGAUUUAGCACACAGACUUGUGUCUUCAUUGUGCCCCACCUCUGCUGAUAGAAUAAGGAGUCAGAUAAGAUGUGACACAGUGAAAGAAAAGGCCGGGAGGGGGUCAGAGCGUUUGUUCUGGAUUUUCCAUUAUGUGAUUUGGCAUGCUGAUGCCUUUCAUUUCAAUCAUUAGAAUUCAGCCGGGAUCAGGAGAGCUUUCAGGUGAAGCAGAGGAGCCGCGUUUGGAUUAGCGGUCCAUGUAACCGAAGCGGGAUAGACUCCAAACGAGGCUGAUUAUCAUACCAUUUCUCAUACCUGACGCGAUUAAUGCAGUUUUUUAACCUCUUCUCUUUAAAAUGGGGAGAUGGUUUAAUUUAAUAUAUGCUUGGUGUUUAAUCAUAAGCCAUGAAUUUUUUGGGGGGCCUAUGCAGGAUGAUAUUAGUGGUUUGAGAGCAGCGGAGGCCAUCGGGAAGGGGUUCAGCUCACAAAGUUUUGCAUAUUUCACCACCUCAGAACUUUUUUCCCCCUCAUGUUUAAGAGGAGGAUAGCGGUAAGACAUGGGGGGAAGCUUUAACUCCCAUAUUUAGUGAUAAGAGGGGGUGAAAACACAGGGGGAAUCUUAGCGAUACGAAAAAAUAAAAUCCACAGCUUUUUAAAAAUCUUAAAGGAUCAUUUUCGGUUUUUAAGGUGGAGAAAAGAAAACGGCCAUUAAAAAAAUCAUUAGAAAUCUUAGUGAGUACGAGUUGUGCUAGGAGCUGAUUUGAAACAGGUUUGAGGCAUUUGCUUGCUUAAAGCAAAGAGACACUCAGGAGUUCAAAGAUGUAAACUUAAGCAGACUGCAAGAAAGUUGUAGUGCGAAUAAGUCAUUGAUGGCACACGAAUAGGCAUGCUGGAUACACAUUCUAUCAAUCCCUUUAUUCCUCAUUAUAUCAUAAUUAUGCAUUGAAAAACAUAAGUGGUUUACCCAAAAGUACACAAACCUUGUGUUGCACAGGUUGAAAAGAGUCAGAGAUGUGUGGUGCGAGUCUUGAUGAAUUGGUCGUGGGCAGUGGGUACAAACCUCACAACCAUCAAUGACACGGUUGGCUCCUCUUAUCUAUCUACAGGUAGCUGGCAGAGUAGCAGCAGCAUGAUUUACAAGAGCUACACAAUGGCACAGAUACUGCACAUUGCUGAAUAGUGUUUAAACAUUUUACCCAUACACUGGAUAUCGAAUGGACGCUGUCUGCCUCCUCGCUGAAGCCACGACGAGAACGGCACCCUUUGGUGACAUAGCCAAUGGGCGUACGAAGACUGCCUUGCUAACUCGGGGAUACGCUGUUUCAAGCAGAGUGUCAUCACAUCGACUCUCCCGCCGAAUGCGUACAACGCUACUGCACAAGUGGUCGCUCCAAGAAGUGGAGAAAAACACAAAAAUACAGAGAGCGAUUCGGCUUCAAAUUUGUAUAAUGACAGAAGGCGGAGCCAAGUUGUCUGAAGUAUAUACAGUCUGUGGUUUUACCUUCUAUGAGCCCCUCCCCCAAAACAGAUUUGCUCUUAUACUAGAGUGACCAUACACCCUCUUUUACCUGGACAUGUCCUCUUUUUUAGGGGCUGUCCUGGUUUGUCAGGGGAAGUUUAAAAAAUGUCCUUCAAAUGUCUGCGGUUUUGUGCGGAAGAUCUGAGUUUGUGUCAUGUGGAUUUACUGAGUUAGAAGCUCAUAAAAGACACUUAAUCUGACCCGAAAAACUCAAAAUUAACUUUGUGCGACUCCAUGACUCCGCCCCUGCGUAGUCAUGUCCUCUUUUUGGGAAGUCAAAAUAUGGUCACUCUAUCUUAUACACCUGUGUGACAUUACAUCCUUCCUUCUUCCUUUCUUAUCUAAUUAGGUAUCUUAUGAGGGACAGGAAGUAGAAGGAAGCGUGUGUGUGGACGUACUCAACUAAUUUAGCCAAAUUCAUUCAGUCAUGUAUUUCAACUUCAUCAUGAUACUAUUGCACCUUUGGACACAAUUCUCCCAACUCAAAAUCAACAAGAACAUACACCUGGUUUACUGAAUUCAUGAAUAACAUGAAAGGAUCGGGUGCCUCUACUUUUUUGCGCCCUCUUUGCACAAACCAAACCUUCAACCUAGUUUUAAAGAAGCUUCAUCAUCUGCACUUCAAGCCUCAUAAAAUACAAGCGAGCCCCAGAAAUUUCUGCCUGGCUGCAAACUUUCCGGAUUCUGUGACUCUCAUGACGGCCUGAGCGGAGAAGAAUGGGCUGCUACAACACGCAGGGAGAAGUAAUGCCCUUUUUAGUCUUUGACAUGUUUGUCUUGGGCUAAUUCCUCUCCACACCACGACAGCCACGACCCGCCUGAGUCAAACGGCUCUGUCACACCUCUUUUCUCUAUCACUUCACUCUUCACAGGGAAAAAAAAAAAGGCCAAAGGGUUUUCCUUGGUUCCUGUAGUGUGAAAUGCAAACUGUCAUUAAAACGAGAGAGGGCGAGUGGAUGGGGCUUACAGGGGAGCCAUCAAUACAGAGAAAGCCUCUCCCCUCAUUGUGUCUCAAUAACUUUAAAAAGGAAACUAAUCCAUUCUGCUCUUAAUUGCAUGCCACGUCCCCCAAUGUGUCUCCCCCAUCAUUCUCGCACAAUGUGGAGGAGGCAAUAUUUAAACAGACUUCCCAAGAUUCCCAUUUCAAACGCUGUAAUGAGUUUUUCAAGAACAUAAUGGUCUAUAUUAUAUUCUACAUUUUUAGCAGGAGGAGGUGAGGAGCAGAAAAGAAGAAGCUCGCCCUGCAAAAAUGGGCUUGUCUUUUAAGGGUUGGGGGAGCUGGAAUAUAAAAGUUAAAGCGUGUGACAAUGUGUGUGUCAACAACGUGUGACAAGAGACAGUGCUCUGAGGAUUAAGGUCUAAUUUCUCCUGUUCUUUCAUUGAGAACUCCGCAAUCCAACAGAUUGAUUGGGACUUUUAAUUACACAGCGGUAAUUAUGGGGCCAGAUCUCGGCGUUUGAAAAGAAAGAAUUAAAGUUCAUUUUGCUUGGCUAAUUAUCAAACGCUGUCCGGAUAUGUGUGUGUGAGUGUGUGAGCAGGCAAAGCCCCUCGAUGCCAGUGGCGACACAGGACCCUGGAUCACAGAUACUCAGUAAUUAAGGCAAAAAGGUUACUUGGGCGAGAAAAGAUGAAGGAGAAAAAGCGAGGACUAAAAACACUUGUGAUAGGGGAAAAUCGGAUCCUGUCUUUCAUUCCUUUUGAUUCUAAUUCUGCCGGAUCUUGCGCCACUUUUCUGUCACUAUCAGCACUCGCAAAUUACAACAUUUCACAUUCAUCAGACUUACUCGCAAGAGACUGCAGAACAGUAGCUUGUCGGGUAAUUGGGUUGAUUUUUUUCCUCCUUCUUCUUUCCUCCUCCUCUCCGUCUUCAAUAAGUCCAGUCCGAUUUCUACCCUCCCUCUCCACACCCUCCCCUCCCUCGGCCUUCGUCCGGUCAAAUCUGCACUUGCUGACAUGCAGCACAGUAGCACUAUGCCUCUAAUUUUUACAUUACAUUGCAUUAGCUCCACCAGGUUUAAGGGGAAACCAAUACAGGAAUCAUUUUAUGGCGUAAAGCAGGAGCUGCGAUUUGGGCUCAGGAGUCAAUCUGGCGCCUGGUGAUGAUGGCGGUGGAGUUAGCGCGGGGUUGGCAGGCCUGAUUAGACCGUCUUAGGCUGGGGAGUCAUAUAUGUGCUAUUUCGCUGAUAGGCUGCGAAUCUGGAUUUCCUGCUCCAGUGCGCUCAUGGAGCUAAACCCAUCCAACCGAGGAGGCUAGGCAAAGUGGGGAAGGUGAUUUUUUUCCUCCCAUCUCUUUCCUGCCUGCACACACACACACACACAUGCACACACACUUGAGUGCCUAGAGUCACACACAUACAUGAACAUCAUCGCCUCGGCACUACCUCAUGAAAUCUAUUUGAAAAUGUCUGUGUGUGUGUGUGACAAAGAGCGAAAUGUAUUCAUUGAAGGAUUCGAGGGGAGAAAAAGAUCAAAUUUACUGGACUGAAGUGCAGGAUUCAUCAAAAAAAUACAUUUAAAUGUAUUUUUUGGGGAGAGAUGUUUCCAAAACUUGGUGUCCGAGCAUGAGCGGCAUAGUCGUCACCGUUUUCAGCAACCACUCUGUGUCCCUUUUCCUCUUCUUUCCUCCGUCUUUCUCUCUCUCUCUUUUCAGUCCGUCUGUCUUUCUAUCUGUCUGUCAUCCGAGCUUGCGUCAUCCGAGCUCGCCCACCUGUAUCCGCGACGCUGCGGCAGCCCCUUCAGAGCGUUUAGCACGGACACAAUUACGCAAUUGUGCGAGCAGACAAAUGCCGUGUAGGACAGUUGGGGAUGGUCGAGAUGGGGGUAACGCAAUCUUACCCCCCUAUUUUCCUCCUUCACCUGGCCUCCCCACGGUCCUCACCCUCAACACCCCUCCCUCCACACCUUCUGUCAUCCCAGGCUUGUCCAUCUCGGCCCAGGGAACAGUGGGGAAGCUGUGUGUGUCGGCUCUUCCCAACAAUUACCUUCAAUUACGGCUCACUGCAGUGUGGCCUCGUGAAAGGCUUUGCCAUUAGGAGUCUCUCUCUCUCUCUUUCUCUUUUUGCGCUGUCUCUCUCUCUCUCUCUCUUUCUGUCUCACCCUCUGCUUGCUCAAUUUUGGAGUCUGGCCAGGCUCCAGGUGAAAACGACCCAAAUAGCCCCCCGCUCACUUUACACGCCCCACAGCUCACUUUACGUUCGCCAGAAAACCUCACCGGCGGCACUCUGUUAAUUCACAUCUUUUACCCCGACGAUACUCCCUCCCUCCUUCCCUUCCCUCCCUCCACCUGGUCUCUUCUUCUUCUUCUCCUCCUUACCCCUCCUCCUGCCUCCUCUUCACAGUCCUCCUUUUUCUCAGAGUCCUCCUCCGCAGGGACCUGAUCCUGUUUGCAGUGGUUUUAGAGUUCAGGGGCAGCAGGGACAAAGGAUACCCUGAGAUGGGAAGCUCCCUGGAGGUUGACUGUAGAUAAAUAUACGACAAGUCUAAGGCUAGUGCUGAGUUCUAACCCUUUGAAUCCAGGAAUUAAAAUGAGUCUGCUGUUACCUACGGACGUAUUUUAA